CACCGCGGUUAUACGAGAGGCCCUAGUUGAUAACUACCGGCGUAAAGAGUGGUUACGGAAAAAUGUUUAAUAAAGCCGAACACCCCCUCAGCCGUCAUACGCACCUGGGGGCACGAAGACCUACUGCGAAAGCAGCUUUAAUUGUACCCGAACCCACGACAGCUACGACA
rnacentral:rRNA from 1 species